rnacentral:rRNA from 1 species
AAACGAUGGAGGUCAGUCGUGUCUGUGGGAUUCAGCCGUCUCUGGCGGUGUACUUCCCACAGACGGGUCAACAUCAGUUUUGGCUGGCGGAUAAAGGCAGGAGGAAGGUGGCACCCCCGGGUGUGUUAUAGCCUCUGGUUGUAUACAUUGGUUGGGACUGAGGAACUCAGCACGCCGCAAGGCCGGGUUUUUAACCACGUUCGUGCUUAGGAUGCUGGCAUAAUGGC